ACGAGGUUCACGACGACCCGACGACAGGGGCGGGGGACCCACUUCCGGGCGCUGGAGACAGCGUCCUCGGGGUGAAGCCCGGCGGACCUCGGUCCGCGGGGCCGGGUGUUUCUCCCACCCGAACCCGACAGCUGACUUCGCAGGCGUCCAGGAGAGGCAAA
rnacentral:sRNA from 2 species